AGACACCUAUACAAUGACUAAAAAAUCAAAAUGUUUUUAAAAAAAAACAAUGAAAUGUCUUAUUUUUAUUCAAAAAUACGCUUGAAGAAUUUGAAGCAAAACAAAAAUACCUCCCAGCAAGCUUUGGAAAUAAUGAAAAGUGAACUGAAAUUUCGCCUAUAGGCAAAAGACCAUCUCUGUAAGCAUGAUAAUAUCCAGACUUAUAACUGUUCAGUAUACUCGACGUAUUCAAUAGAAUAAAUGCAAUUUCGCUCAGUAUGUAAGUAACCAUUGAUACACUAUCGGCAUAGUACUUACAAAAAAUAAUACAUUUUUAUUUUAAAAUAAUGUUUUCAAUAGU